UACGAAGGGGGCUAGCGUUGCUCGGAAUGACUGGGCGUAAAGGGCGCGUAGGCGGCGUGCACAGUCGGAUGUGAAAUUCCUGGGCUUAACCUGGGGGCUGCAUUCGAUACGUGCAUGCUUGAGUGCGGAAGAGGGUCGUGGAAUUCCCAGUGUAGAGGUGAAAUUCGUAGAUAUCGGGAGGAACACCAGUGGCGAAGGCGGCUUCCUGGACCAGUACUGACGCUGAGGCGCGAAAGCUAGGGGAGCAAACAGG
rnacentral:rRNA from 1 species